GCUAUGAUUUCUGAGUGAAUUGCCCUAGACUCUGUCACUAACACCUUCCCAGUUCUGCGACUUCGAACUUUGCUCUCAAGAGCAAGAGGCCAGGAACCAUGGGGCAUGCUGCAGGUUCGCGUCCAGCCCUUGUCCGACCGCCUGCUUCUCUGGAUGGCUCUGGAAGGCAUGGUGGGCUUCCCUCCUAGCCCACUGGGCAGCUGUGACAUUCCUGGAAUUCAUUGAAUGUUUUGGUUUUAGAAGAAUCAGCUCUCAGGGACAGAAUUCUCAACAUUUCUAAUGGAGCUUCUGCUUCCCUCAGUUCCGUGAUGAUGUACGUCUUUCACAGCCAACUACUUUGUAAUGGCGCCACCUGAAGAGCAGUCCAAACAGAAAGAGAGCCUGAGCUGGGAAGGUGCCAGGCAGUUCUAGAAAAUGAAGAAAGGCCUGUGGAGCCGGAGCAUGGUAUGUCAAAGACUUGAAGGAUGAAGGUAUUGUCCAUACCCAGCUUUGGAAGAGCCUCCAUUAACAGUCAAUAGAAAGUAGUAAAUAAUAAUUUUUUUCAAAUUCAAAAUAAGAUCUGUAAUAAAUGUACCAAUUGGGGAUGGGGCCAUUUGACGUUUUGCCAGUUCCAGGAGACAGUUACUGGAAGUUGGGGAAACCAGCACCAAGUUUCUGCUUGACUCCAGAGAUGUUUCAGCAGCCCACGUGGCCUGGCACCUCAGAGAGGUAGCCUUCCAACCCAGGCUUGCCAAGGCUCUGGGAGGCAGAGUGAAAA